AAAAAUAAAGUAAAAACCAGAAAUUUCAAAUAAUAUUCUCUCUCUCUCUCUCUCUCUCUCUUUUUCUUUUUGCAGAUGUAGAUGAAGAAAACCCAAGGGGGACGGGGUUGGCGGACUGGUGGAGGGAAAAAAACAGAAGGGAGGAGGUGAGGGCAAAGGUCUGUGGGGUGGGGGAUUGAUUUGGUUUGUGGUCAUGGGGAAUGGGAGGAGAAGAACAACUCAUAGGAGAAGGGGGGUAGGCUGGGUUUGGAGGAUGAAAAUACAUAAUGGGGAGGUGGGGGGAAGGGUCUGUGGGGGUAGGGGAUUGGUCUGGGGGUAAAGGAUGGUGGUCAUGGGGGAAUGGGAGGAGGAAGGGAGGAGAUGGAAGGGGUUGGCAUUAGGUUUACUCUUUUUCUUCAAUAUUCUCCAAAAAAAUAAUUUUUAACUGAAAAUUGAAUGAAAUGUUGAGAAUUUAGACGGUAAGGGAGAAAUUGACAAACAAGAAGAAGUUCAUGUCCUUAAUUUUUUAAAUAAAAAAGAAUAGGGAGUAAAUUGAAAGCUAUGUACAAAUUCAGGCAAAUCACCGGUAUGAACAAUAGGAAAAGACAGACAAGAGUAAGAGGGAAAGCGUUGAACGACGUUUGUGAGGAUCGGAGGGAAAGCGGCGGAGUGAAAACAAGAGAAGCGAGAGAUGGGUGGUGGACAGAGAGAGGUAGGAGAAGGAAGCAACGUAAAAGCAAACGCGAAGAGAAGAAGAAGGACAUGGCUGAAGAGGAAAGAGAAAUGGCUUGUAGUACUUGGCGUUGUUCUGCACGCCGUUUAUAUGCUCAGCAUUUUCGACAUCUACUUCAAGUCCCCCAUUGUUCAUGGCAUCGAUCUCGUUACCCCUCGUUUCAAAGCCCCGGCAAAACGCCUCGUUUUACUCGUCGCUGAUGGUCUGCGAGCUGAAAAAUUCUUUGAGUCCGAUUCUGAAGUAAAGUUCAGAGCUCCAUUUUUAAGAAGCGUGAUCGAAGAGAAGGGUCGGUGGGGAGUUUCACAUCCUCGUCCUCCCACUGAGUCAAGGCCUGGACAUGUUUCUAUAAUUGCUGGGUUCUAUGAAGAUCCCAGUGCUGUUACUAAAGGCUGGAAAGCUAAUCCUGUUGAAUUUGAUUCGGUAUUUAACCGAAGCCGGCAUACUUUCUCUUAUGGUAGUCCUGAUAUAGUUCCAAUCUUCUGUGCUGGCUUGCCUCACACCACCUGGAACAGUUACCCUCAUGACUUUGAAGACUUCGCUACAGAUGCUUCCUUUCUGGAUGAGUGCUCUUUUGAUCAAUUUAAGGGACUUCUGAAUAGGUCCAAAGAAGACCCGAAGUUGAAGGAGUUACUUUUACAGGAUAAUCUUGUCGUAUUUUUGCACCUACUUGGCUGUGAUUCAAAUGGUCAUGCGCAUAGGCCCUCUUCGUCCAUUUAUCUCAAUAAUGUUGCGGUUGUUGACAGUAUAGCUGAGAGGGUUUAUAAUCUUCUUGAGGAUUAUUACAGGGACAAUCGUACAUCAUACAUAUUUACUGCUGAUCAUGGAAUGCAUGACAAAGGAAGCCAUGGAGAUGGGCAUCCUUCAAACAUUGAUACUCCCCUUGUUGUUUGGGGAGCUGGUGUUAAACAUCCCAAGCCAGUCUCCAGCAGCAAUCAUUCUGAUUGUGGCUUUCGUUUUGUUGAUGAACAUAUGCAUGAGACGCCAACACCUACAGAAUGGGGCCUUCAUGGCAUUGAAAGGGUGGAUGUUAAUCAAGCAGAUAUUGCACCUCUCAUGUCAACUCUUCUUGGUCUGCCAUGUCCUAUAAACUCGGUUGGAAGUUUACCCCUUGAUUACAUAGACAUGAUAAAGGAAGAUGAAGUCGAAGCUGUGGUUGCCAACACGAAGCGAAUUCUCAACCAGUUUCUUUGGAAAUCACAGACGAAGCAGUCAAAUUCGUUAUAUUUCAAGCCUUUCAAACCACUGGGCGAUUAUUCCUCCCUAUUGGAUAAGAUUGAGGAUCUAAUAUCUAUUAGAGACUAUGCAGCUGCAAGGAAGCUGUCUGAAGAUCUCCAAGUCUUGGCGCUGCAAGGACUUCACUAUUUUCAAACUUACGAUUGGCUGAUGCUCAUGACUGUAAUUAUUCUUGGGUAUAUUGGUUGGAUGACCUAUAUUGUUCUCCAUGUGCUGCAAUCUUAUACUUCAUUGGCAGGGUAUAUGUUUAGAAAGGAGCAAGCAGAUCACCAGACAGAUAAUACCAGAAAAGUACAACUUUGUUGAUGCCUUUUUCUGGGACUACUUUGUAUUAUACUGUUUAAGGAGCAUUCUCCUCCUCUUUACCAUUCAUACACAUCAAUGACAGUAUUUCUGUGGACACAAAUCUUUAGUGAAUAUCGGUUCAUCAAAGCAUUAUGGAAAGAGUUAUAUGGAAGAAGGAUCAAUUACUUUGCUAAAAUUCUAGCCACUGGUAUUUUCUCAGUAUUCAUUCUUGAAUUCCUGGUGAAUAGCUUUACUCAGAGGAAGCUAUACACUUAGUGUUUCCUGGUUUCUGGGGUCAUAUCCUUCCUUUAUCUUUAAAAAUUGAUUCCUUGGAGAUCUGGCAUACCAAUCUUUCUUUGUGUUGCGUGUUGGUUCUUAUCUGUAUUUACUUUGACGCCAGCAGAAAUUCCCGAUAAUAAUCGUCUAGUGAUUGGGAGUGGAGUUAUGAUUAUUAUGAUAGGACUAGCUGCUAGGUUGCUAGAUCUGCAUAUGAAGGAAACAAGUGUUGGCUAAGUAUCUGCAAUCAUGACAAGAAGCAACCUAAAUUUCCCAUGCUCUUUCAGUUACAGGCUCUUUUGAUUGGAUUAUCAUCCGUGAUGGUGUCAAUAUCAACCUCUCGUAGAACACAGAAGCAAGAACUACUUGCUUUGCACCAGAUUACAAAUUGGUCCAUUGCUGGUAUCUCGAUUGUACUUCCAUUAUUUUCAGCAAAUGGUCUCUUGUCCCGGCUUACUUCCUUAUUUCUUGGUUUUGCGCCCACAUUCCUUCUAUUAUCUAUUGGAUAUGAAGCUGUCUUCUACGGAGCUCUGGCUCUUACACUCAUGGCUUGGAUACUAGUUGAAAACACAUUUAUUUACUCGAGUAAGGUGAACAGGUUGCCAAGCUCCUUUAACAAUAUGGAAGAUAAUGUCAUACUUGAUGGUAGAUACUUGCAGCUGUCUGAUGUGCGAAUUCCAUUAAUCUUUAUGGUUUUAUUUAAUGUUGCCUUCUUUGGAACGGGUAAUUUUGCAAGUAUCGCAAGCUUUGAGAUUUCAUCUGUCUAUCGAUUUAUUACUGUCUUCAGUCCGUUUCUUAUGGCCGCCUUACUUAUCUUCAAGUUAUUCAUUCCAUUUCUGCUCGUCAUAUGUGUAUUCAGUGCAAUAACAAAACUAAACCGACUUCCACGGUUGGGAUGCUAUUUCCUCCUUAUUUUGUUCUCGGAUGUAAUGACUCUGCAUUUCUUCUUCCUGGUCCGAAAUACAGGAAGUUGGAUGGAAAUUGGUAACAGCAUCAGCCAUUUUGGAAUCGUGAGUGCUCAAGUAGUCUUUGUGCUGUUGCUUUUUGCCGUCACAAAUAUGUACACAAAAGAUGUCAACAUUGGUUCAGCGGACCGGUCCUCCCGGAAAGCCAUGUAAGCCAUGCUAAAUUGGGAUAUUGGGUUUCGAAAUAAAUCACCAGUUUUCAGGAAAGGUAAGCUUUAAUGUUCUUAAGGCGCCUAUCACGGUCCUAAUAGCAGCUUCCCACUCUACAACUUUGCCCUUUCUUCCUACAACUGCUGAUUGCUUGGAGAUGAGAGAUUCAGAGCAAUGGGAUUUUCCAAGUGUUCCCCAUUCAAUUGAAAUUUUUGGCACGCUUUUCACAUGUAUUGAUUAGUUGAUACAGUUUAACCAGUUUAACCUAUUUACAGAUCAUUAGUCAAUUUGUAAAUAAAUUUAUUUAUGUUUAUGGUUAGCAAGAUCUUGAUUAAGAACAGAAAACAAGUUGGGCUCCCAUUUCAAGCCUAUUUACAUAUUUCAAUGUCCAAUUUCAGCUCAUCUGCAAGUUUGCAGAGCUUGUUUGCCCUGCCCAUGUAUUCACAUGGGCUUCAUGGCAAAGUGGCGAGAACAAUUAGCAGCAAGCAAGCAACUCGUUUCAAAAUAAAAUAGAACAAAUACUUUGGACAACAAUAAGACAGAGAAAAGA